rnacentral:rRNA from 2 species
CCCUUCGGGGGACAAAGUGACAGGUGGUGCAUGGUUGUCGUCAGCUCGUGUCGUGAGAUGUUGGGUUAAGUCCCGCAACGAGCGCAACCCUUAAGCUUAGUUGCCAUCAUUAAGUUGGGCACUCUAAGUUGACUGCCGGUGACAAACCGGAGGAAGGUGGGGAUGACGUCAAAUCAUCAUGCCCCUUAUGAUUUGGGCUACACACGUGCUACAAUGGACAAUACAAAGGGCAGCGAAACCGCGAGGUCAAGCAAAUCCCAUAAAGUUGUUCUCAGUUCGGAUUGUAGUCUGCAACUCGACUACAUGAAGCUGGAAUCGCUAGUAAUCGUAGAUCAGCAUGCUACGGUGAAUACGUUCCCGGGUCUUGUACACACCGCCCGUCACACCACGAGAGUUUGUAACACCCGAAGCCGGUGGAGUAACCUUUUAGGAGCUAGCCGUCGAAGGUGGGACAAAUGAUUGGGGUGAAGUCGUAACAAGGUAGCCGUAUCGGAAGGUGCGGCUGGAUCACCUCCUUUCUAAGGAUAUAUUCGGAAC